rnacentral:rRNA from 1 species
AGUGAACGCUGGCGGUAGGCCUAACACAUGCAAGUCGAACGGCAGCACAGUAAGAGCUUGCUCUUACGGGUGGCGAGUGGCGGACGGGUGAGGAAUACAUCGGAAUCUACUUUUUCGUGGGGGAUAACGUAGGGAAACUUACGCUAAUACCGCAUACGACCUACGGGUGAAAGCAGGGGAUCUUCGGACCUUGCGCGAUUGAAUGAGCCGAUGUCGGAUUAGCUAGUUGGCGGGGUAAAGGCCCACCAAGGCGACGAUCCGUAGCUGGUCUGAGAGGAUGAUCAGCCACACUGGAACUGAGACACGGUCCAGACUCCUACGGGAGGCAGCAGAGGGGAAUAUUGGACAAUGGGCGCAAGCCUGAUCCAGCCAUACCGCGUGGGUGAAGAAGGCCUUCGGGUUGUAAAGCCCUUUUGUUGGGAAAGAAAAGCAGCAGGUUAAUACCCCGCUGUUCUGACGGUACCCAAAGAAUAAGCACCGGCUAACUUCGUG